CACACACACACACACACACAGCCUUAAAUGCUCAAAACACACCCAUAUAGACCCAAAAACAUUCGUGAACACACUCAAACACACACAGAACCAAGCUAAACACACACACACAAUGAAGUGAAGUGUUACCAUAUUCCCAGGCAGUUUUUAGCAGCACAAGCGGCAAGACAAGAGUGAACCAGCAGUGCAAGGCAAGCCACCAUGACCUGCAGCCUUCACCACACCCCUCCUUCACUUACUCAAGGCUCACACGUCAAGACGGAAGCAACAGAAGGAAGAAGAAGGAGAAACAAAGGAGGAGGACGAAGAAGAAACGAGAAAUAGAGGCGGAAUAGGAGAAGGAGCCAAGGUGUAAUAUUUAGCCCUGUCCAUCCUGCAGCCCCCGCGAGUGAUCCUGUACGCCCUGCCGCUGCUGCCGCUCCUGCUGGUGGUGACCCUGACAAUGAGAGUCAACCUGUGCUCUGUUCUCAGGGACUUGUACCAUUAUCGUGUGCUGUGAGAGGCGUAGAGCACUGUCUGGCUGCACCCUCCGCCCUGCGCCCUCUCUCUCUCUCUCUCUCUCUCUCUCUCGUAUCAUAUUGCACCUUUUUGUGUGUUAAAUAGUUUGAAUAAAGGAAAAUGUUGACUAAUCAUUAUUAUUAUUAUUGUUAUUAUUAUUAUUAUUGUUAUUAUUGUUGUUGUUUUGACG